rnacentral:rRNA from 1 species
UGGGGAAUAUUGCACAAUGGGCGCAAGCCUGAUGCAGCAACGCCGCGUGGAGGAAGACGGUUUUCGGAUUGUAAACUCCUGUUCUUAGUGAAGAAAAAUGACGGUAGCUAAGGAGCAAGCCACGGCUAACUACGUGCCAGCAGCCGCGGUAAUACGUAGGUGGCAAGCGUUGUCCGGAAUUACUAGGUGUAAAGGGAGCGCAGGCGGGGGAGCAAGUCAGCUGUGAAAUCCAUGGGCUCAACCCAUGAACUGCAUUUGAAACUGUGGAUCUUGAGUGUCGGAGGGGCAAUCGGAAUUCCUAGUGUAGCGGUGAAAUGCGUAGAUAUUAGGAGGAACACCAGUGGCGAAGGCGGAUUGCUGGACGAUAACUGACGGUGAGGCGCGAAAGUGUGGGGAGCAAACAGGAUUAGAUACCCUGGUAGU